rnacentral:rRNA from 1 species
GGAGGAAAAGAAACCAACCGGGAUUGCCUUAGUAACGGCGAGUGAAGCGGCAAAAGCUCAAAUUUGAAAUCUGGUACCUUCGGUGCCCGAGUUGUAAUUUGGAGAGGGCAACUUUGGGGCCGUUCCUUGUCUAUGUUCCUUGGAACAGGACGUCAUAGAGGGUGAGAAUCCCGUGUGGCGAGGAGUGCGGUUCUUUGUAAAGUGCCUUCGAAGAGUCGAGUUGUUUGGGAAUGCAGCUCUAAGUGGGUGGUAAAUUCCAUCUAAAGCUAAAUAUUGGCGAGAGACCGAUAGCGAACAAGUACAGUGAUGGAAAGAUGAAAAGAACUUUGAAAAGAGAGUGAAAAAGUACGUGAAAUUGUUGAAAGGGAAGGGCAUUUGAUCAGACAUGGUGUUUUGUGCCCUCUGCUCCUUGUGGGUAGGGGAAUCUCGCAUUUCACUGGGCCAGCAUCAGUUUUGGUGGCAGGAUAAAUCCAUAGGAAUGUAGCUUGCCUCGGUAAGUAUUAUAGCCUGUGGGAAUACUGCCAGCUGGGACUGAGGACUGCGACGUAAGUCAAGGAUGCUGGCAUAAUGGUUAUAUGCCGCCCG